rnacentral:lncRNA from 1 species
AGCAGAGAAGGGGGGAUGUGGGACAACUAAGGAUUUUAUUUUGUUUUGAUUUUUUGUGGUGCUGGGGAUUGAGCACAUGCUCUACCAUGAGCUACACUCCCAGCAUUGCCACUGAGGUGUUAGAAUGCUUUUGAAUAUUGAUGGGAAUGAAUCAGCAGGAGGGGAAGCCAAUGUAGGGGAAGUGGGGAUAGUCUGCAGUAGCAGCUGUGGAGUUGAUUUUGGCUUUGCACAGAAUCAGGGUAGCUUUGUGAUAGCAGAAAGAAACAGGAUAGACAGACAGUUCAGUGCAGAUGCAAGUUGGUUGCUAAAUUGGUGGUACAAAGAUGAGGGAUUUCCUUUGAUCACUUAUGUUUUUUUAAAGUAAAAUGUGAGGAUAGUCAUCAAAAAAUGGAAGGUUGAGAAGGCUGUUUAAGGAGAAGCAAGAAGGUUCUAGAUGAUAUGAAAAUUGAGAAAAUCAGUCUAUGAGACUGCCUUAUAAUAUUUCUAAGUGCUUAUUUGAGAAUUACAGUCAUGAAUUUAAAGUGACACUGGUCCACUUGUUUAUGUGACCUAGCUACGUACAGCAGUUUUGAUACAAGUAUAAAAUUUCUCAGCAAGCAGAUGGAAGUAGAAGGAAGCCAGAGAGUUGGCAUGGGCCAGGGCUCAUUUGGAAUUGAAGAAGAGAUUGUGUGAGAGUCCACAGUAAGACAGCAGGAUGAGAGGUUGUAGGCAGAGUUGCAUGCUCUGAAGUCAGCCAUCAUUUGAUGACAGUGUCAAGGAAAUGACCAUCAACUUGGGAUGGCUAAGGGCAUGGAAGAGAAGAUCCUUGGCAAUGAAGGUGGCAGAGGGUUUGAGAGAAAAAGGAAUAGUGGUAUCACUCCUAGGGAUGUUGAAGUCACUAAGAUAAAAAGGAUGAAGGUAGAAAAGCCAGUGACCUUAGUACUAAAGUCAUCAAGGGAGGCAGAAGGGUGGGCAUGAUUAUGUGGAGAUUAUUAAAUGAGAUAAUUUGUGAAAAAUACUUAACAAAGUAUCUGGCACUCAAGGAGUGGGGGGGAGGCAUGGUUUUUUUAUUAAUAAAAUAAAAGAAAGAUGAAUAGUUAACCAUCUCCAAACUCCUGUAAAGUAGCUCUUGACCUGGUCAAUUUGACUCACUUGCUAUAUCCUCCACUACUAUCUAAAAUGACUAACCACAUUAACAUUUAAGUUCCACCACCACCUAGUACAGCGUGCUCCCUCAGGGCUCUCUCA